UGAGAUCACGUACUAUAGGUGAACUUCUGGCUCUAGCAGCUCCUUUUGACAAGAAAUGUGGUCGUGAAAAUUGGACUGUUGCUUUUGCUCCUGAUGGUUCAUACUUCGCUUGGUCCCAAGGACAUUGUACAGUAAAGCUUGUUCCGUGGUCCCAGUGCCAUAAGAACUUUCUCUUACAUGGCACAAAGAAUAUCGCUAAUUCAAGCAGUUUGAGAUUGUCAAGACAAAACAGUGAUGGUGCUCAGAAAAAUAAGCCUCGUGAACACAUUAUAGAUUGUGGUGAUAUAGUCUGGAGUCUUGCUUUUGGAUCUUCGGUUCCAGAAAAACAGAGUCGCUGUGUAAAUAUAGAAUGGCAUCGCUUCAAAUUCGGACAAGAUCAGCUACUCCUUGCCACAGGGUUAAACAAUGGGCGUAUCAAAAUAUGGGAUGUAUAUACAGGAAAACUCCUCCUUAACUUGGUAGAUCAUACUGAAGUGGUCAGAGAUUUAACUUUUGCUCCAGAUGGGAGCCUGAUCCUAGUGUCAGCUUCAAGAGACAAAACUCUGAGAGUGUGGGACCUGAAAGAUGAUGGAAACAUGAUGAAAGUAUUGAGGGGCCAUCAGAACUGGGUAUACAGCUGUGCAUUCUCUCCUGACUCUUCCAUGCUGUGCUCAGUGGGAGCCAGUAAAGCAGUGGUGGCAGCAAUAUUGGUGUGAUUGAGGUUAUGCUGGCACCACUCGCACACAGGCGCACAAUGGUGUUAGCUGGGCAGAAAGAGUGGCAUCUCUGGCUGCCGGGCUGGGGGCGACCUUUACCAUAGGAUGAAGUAACCUUGCAUUCGGCUGCAAGGUGUACUGUACGUACACAGGUGCUGGUCGAUGUCCCUUUCUGCUUUUCUUUCUUUCUUUUUUUCUUUUUUAAAAUAAUUUCCCCCAGUGAAACCCACUGACUCCUCCAAGUAAAUUGAUCUUCCAGUCUGUUGGAAUUGGGAGUCUGUUAUGUGAAACCAAUUUAAUGUAAUGUAAUUGGCUUUCAGAUGGUUUCUCUGUACUAUUUUUUGGAAUUCUUUGAGAUGAUAUAGAUACCUUAAGUCUGAUCCAAUUUAAAAUUUGUGAUUUUUUUCCUUUGGAAGUAAUAUAUUGUGUCUGUGCAGAAAAAAUGUAGCCAAAAGGAAUACUUUAUCCCAAGAGGAAGAGAGAUUUGUGUUACUAGGAUUGUUUAAUUUCCAAGCUCACAUUUAGUAUAACAGACUACAGUAAACAUUAGAAUCCUAUUUAUAGCUAUUCUGCACAGUCUAACUACUACUGAUUUUAGAAUCUAAAACUAUAUGUGAACUUGUACUAAAGUAAUUUAAAUGUUUUAUACUUAAAAUGACUAAUGAUUGUAUGGUCAGUUUGGGAAAAAUAAGAUUAGCAAAUCUUGAUUCACAGAAAUGUUGAUUGUAUUAUUUUCGUAAAUUAGCAUUUUCAUUUUGUAAUGUGGUUUAACAUCCUUGUUGUUUGCCAAAGAAAUUUCAUUUGGCUGUGAAAAUUCUCUUUGCUUGCAGUAUCUGUUUCUCUUCCUAGGCUCACGUUGGUGACCCAAGCCUUUUGUAAACAAGUGAUUAUCUCAAAGGGAGAUGCCAAUGGAGUAACAAUUUGUUAACCUUACAUUUUCUGUCUGUAUAUAUUUUUUAAAAUUUGGUAGUUUCUGGAAGAAAAAGAAGGGUUUGUAGUACUUAACCCUAUUUAUUUCUGUAUAUUUUAGUUAAUUAGUUUUGGAAUAAAUGGAUUUCAGUAUAACUUGUGGUUAAAUUGUACUGCCUUUUUUAUGUUUAGGCUAUUUUUUAAUUAACAUUUAACAGAAACAUUUGAAAUAGAAUUUGCAUGUCUACUUUAAUUAACGUAAAGACUGAUUUUAAUCUGACUAUGACACUGAGCAUAUUCUUUUAAUUAUCUGUAAUUUAUCAUGUUUAAUUUAAUAUAAUUGAAUUAAAUUUAGCAGUUUUAGUUUAAGAUGUGCCAUUUUGUCCUCUGUGUGUCUGAAUGAAGCUAUAACAUUUGCCUUUUUAUUGCAGGUUUUCCUCUGGAAUAUGGAUAAAUAUACCAUGAUACGGAAACUAGAAGGACAUCACCAUGAUGUUGUAGCUUGUGACUUUUCUCCUGAUGGAGCAUUACUGGCUACUGCAUCUUAUGAUACUCGAGUAUAUAUCUGGGAUCCACAUACUGGAGACAUUCUGAUGGAAUUUGGGCACCUGUUUCCCCCACCUACUCCAAUAUUUGCUGGAGGAGCAAAUGACCGAUGGGUACGAUCUGUAUCUUUUAGUCAUGAUGGACUGCAUAUUGCAAGCCUUGCUGAUGAUAAAAUGGUGAGAUUCUGGAGAAUUGAUGAGGAUUAUCCAGUACAAGUUGCACCUUUGAGCAAUGGUCUUUGCUGUGCCUUUUCUACUGAUGGCAGUGUUUUAGCUGCUGGGACACAUGAUGGAAGUGUAUAUUUUUGGGCCACUCCAAGGCAAAUCCCUAGCCUUCAACAUUUAUGUCGCAUGUCGAUCCGGAGAGUGAUGCCCACUCAAGAAGUCCAGAAGCUGCCGAUUCCUUCCAAAGUGUUGGAGUUUCUCUCCUAUCGUAUUUAGAGGACUCUGCAAAUAUGAGUAGUUGGGACUGAUGGAGCACACUAGACACAAACCUCAAGCUUUACUGACUUCAAGUAUCUGUUUUCAAAGUUUAGAAGAUUUAUUUAACUUGAUAUGUUCUUGUACUACAUUUUGAUCAGGGGUAAUAUUGGUGAUUUACUUACCAAAGAGAAGCAAUACAGCAUACCUGCUUUUUUGCCUUCUGUUAUUUAUCUUACCUGCAGAUAUUAAGAAUGUAUGUAUUAUGUA